CGGACAGCCUGUCUAACCUCUUCUACCUUAAAACGUCUACAAUAGUUAAAAUCCCGACGCUCCUCUGAGUGCUCCAGUGCCCCUAACACAAGAGCUCUAUCCCCUUCGUCAUUCAAGAGCCUAUGAAAGUACGACUGCCAUCUAUUCUUAAUGUGGCCGUCUUCCACCAACACUCUACCGUCCUCCCCCUUAAUGCACCUCACCUGAUCGAGGUCACGACCCUUCCUCUCCCUAGCCUUAGCGAGUCUAAACAACUUUUUCUCCCCUUCCUUCCCCUGUAACCCUGCAUACAGGCUCUCAAAGGCGGCCGUCUUAGCUGCCGUGACUGCCGUCU
rnacentral:lncRNA from 1 species